rnacentral:ncRNA from 2 species
AUAUUUGCCCCGAUUUUUGGUUUUAAUGUAAAAAUCAUUUUACAUUAAAUUAAAAGGGAAUCUGGUUAAAAUCCAGAACUGUACCCGCAACUGUAAGCUAUAAAGCUUGUAACUAAUUCUUUAGCCACUGACUAUUUGUUGGGAAGGUUUGUUACAAGACGCAAGUCAGGAGACCUGCCUUUAAUCAUGAGUUAAA